rnacentral:rRNA from 1 species
UGGGGAAUUUUGGACAAUGGGCGCAAGCCUGAUCCAGCCAUGCCGCGUGCGGGAAGAAGGCCUUCGGGUUGUAAACCGCUUUUGUCAGGGAAGAAAUCUUCUGAGUUAAUACCUCGGGAGGAUGACGGUACCUGAAGAAUAAGCACCGGCUAACUACGUGCCAGCAGCCGCGGUAAUACGUAGGGUGCAAGCGUUAAUCGGAAUUACUGGGCGUAAAGCGUGCGCAGGCGGUUUUGUAAGACAGAGGUGAAAUCCCCGGGCUCAACCUGGGAACUGCCUUUGUGACUGCAAGGCUUGAGUGCGGCAGAGGGGGGAUGGAAUUCCGCGUGUAGCAGUGAAAUGCGUAGAUAUGCGGAGGAACACCGAUGGCGAAGGCAAUCCCCUGGGCCUGCACUGACGCUCAUGCACGAAAGCGUGGGGAGCAAAACAGGAUUAGAUACCCUGGUAGUCCACGCCCUAAACGAUGUCAACUGGUUGUUGGGAAGGUUCCUUCUCAGUAACGUAGCUAACGCGUGAAAGUUGACCGCCUGGGGAGUACGGCCGCAAGGUUGAAACUUAAAUGAAUUGACGGGGUCAUAGCUGUUUCCUG